AACUAUUUCCCAUAUUCACUAAAAUUCUUCAGAAUUUACUCUUCAGCUUUCUCCACUGGAACUGCUUUCUCUUCAACAGAUUCUGCUGCUGCUACUGGUUCCUCAGCUGCUGCAUCUGUGGUUUUCUCAGCCACUGCUUCUUCAGUUACUGGAGCUGAUUCAUCUGCUACAGGGACAGCUUUCUCUGUUUCUGGUUCCUCGACAGGGGCUGCUUCGAGUUCAGCCUCCGCGACAGGGGCUGCAACCUCUUCAACAGGAGCCGCAACUGGUUCCUCAGCUGCUGGCUCCUCUGUUUCUAUGGCUGCAGGUUCUGCUGCAGCCACAGGUUCUUCAGCAGCAGGGGCUGCUUCCUCAGCGGGAGCAGGCUCUUCUACUGGUGCUGCUGCUGAUUCGACGACGGAUUCGCUUUCUACAACUGGGGUUGGUUCCUCUACUUUGGUUUCCUCUGGGGUUGUUUUUACCUCAACCUCAGCUGGAGCAGUCUCUACUGCUGCUACUGGUGCAGAUUCAACCUUCAGACAAAAUUUGAAACAAUUAGUUGGGAAUAUGUUACCGUCAUGUUAGUAUGUUUAUUUUAGUUCCUACAUUUACUAGGAAUCUUUAUAUUCGAUCGCCGAUUUAUAUGACAAGUAGAAAAUAUAGAGAACUUAAAUGAAGUGACAUAGUUAGUGAAGAUUUAGCUGAUCCUAACUUGCUUGGGGUUGACGUGUAGUAGUAAUUAUGUUGUUUUGAAUUCUUGAUAUCAAACUAUGGUCAUAAAAAAGCUCUGAUCACUGACCUUCUCAAGAUAUUUCAUUAUAAAACCUUUAUCCAAGAAUGAUCUAAUAAUAUUUUCAAGAUAUAAAAUGUAUUGAUCAACCAUUAGAUUUUAUUCACUUCAUCAGAUUGUGUAAAAUGUAAAUCUUGAAAAGGGCACUGAUCAGUUGAAGAACAGGUUAGCUAACUGAUCUUGAUCAGUUUUAAGUUUUCAUUUAGAAAGAAAGGAAGAAAAAAAUUGCAAAAUAACAUUACUAUAAAAGUACCUCAACGCUGGCCAUUGGAAAUUGAAGGAAUAAAGUUGAAACUAAGAAGAUGGGAAGAGAAGAAAAAUAAUGAAAUGGAGGGGGUCUUAGGAAGAAAAGGUGGCCAAAGUGUUUCUAAUUGUGAUUGGUGAUGAAAAAGGAUCAAAUGAGAGAGCAAUAUAUAGAGAAGUAAAAUCGACUGUAUUAAUUAAAAUAAUGGAAAGAAAAGAAUCUUGAGGGAUAUACAAAUUCACAUCUCACAUCACUGACAUAAAAGGGUGACCAAAAAUAUUAGGAUGUCUAGUUGUAAAUGUAUUUACUUUACUUUAUGCUUACAAAAAAAUUAAUAUUAAAAUCCAAUCAAGUCGAGGUCGGUUGUAUAAAUUCUCAUUGUAUGUUAUAUCCCAAAUGUAUUCUGCAUUUUAAAGAUGCAUUAUAAAUUAAUUAAUUUCAUGUUGAUUAUCGAUAUACCGUAAUUUACCUCUUUCAUUCAAAUUGAAAACGAUGAUAUUAAUAAGUUACAUAAAUAAUAAUUACGCUUCAAUCUUAAAUAAGUUGGAGUUGAUUUCGUCAUAAAUUGACAAAUUUUGCGCUGACCUCCAACUUAUCACAACUCUCAUCUUUUAUCCGAGCUUGAAACCGGCAAUAUAAGCAAGCUCACAUCCGCUAUUUGAGAUUUUCCAACACAACUUUUUUCUUUUUGCUAAUUGAUUUUCAAGAUGAGGAGCUUUUUCUUUGGUAAGAUUAUUAUUAAUUAUUUAUUAAAUCAUUUAUUAGUUUGUUUAAAGGCAUUUGUUUGAUUGGGAAAAGGCAAAGUCACAUGGUGGUGGAGGCCAUUUCCUAUAAACAGCUAUGAUAUCUUUUUUCUUGAGUGGUUUCUUCUGUGUUUUGUGCAGUAGGGCACGUAGGUGACUAAGACUAUAUAUCAUGCUUUCAUGUUCUAAUAAUUUUUAAAAAUAAUAUUUUUCUUUUUCUGUUCCAGCUUCUUCUUUUUUUAAUUACUAUUUUGUUAACUCUAGAUCUUCACAACAAAAUCUCUUGGUUUAAGGGAAUGAAUCUAAUUGCUAAUUCAUGCAUAUACUCAUACAAAAUGACUCAGCUUUAUUCUAAUUUUAAUAUAUGUAUUUAUUGGAUCCUGUAAACUAUUGAUACUAUAUUACUUUAUCAUACAAAUUACCACCAAGAUUUUGACAAAGUAGUGACAGAGUAAAUACAUCACUAAUUACUAAAUUAAACAUUUAUGAAAAGUAAAAUGAAAAGAUUAAGCUAACAGGUUGGCAGUUAAAAUGCAAAGACAUCAAAUUUUAAGGCAACCAUAGAGUGAAUAAGCUUUUAGUUUUAUACGUUAACACGAGAAUAAAAAAUAUUCAACUUGAUAAUAUUUACGCCCUCUAUUUCAUUUUAUGCCACAUUAUUUUUUUAUUAGUCCAUUAAAAAAAAUAUUUUUACAUUUAAGAUAAAUUUAACUUUAUAUUUUUUAUUUACCAUUAAAUGAGAAGCUUUUAUCGACACAUAAAUAUUAUAACAUGUUCAAAACACAAGUUUCAAAAUACUUUUUUUCAUUUUUAAAUUUUGUAACGAGUCCAACUAUGUCACAUAACUUGAAACUAUCAAUAUUAAGUAAUGGAAACCAGGAGCAGAACUAGAGUAUUAGAUACGGGUUCGAACAAAACUGUUAAUAUUAAUUAAAUAUAUAUAAAUAUUUGAAUGCAAGCUCAGUAAUUAAAACUAGUUGUGAGUUCGAUAAUAAGUUCAUAAUCCAUAAAUUUUAAAUAUUGACUCCCGACACUGUAUUCAAAUUAUGUUUUUUCUGUCGGCGUGGCACAGUUUUUAUUUACACUAAAAUAUAUUGUGCGUAACAUAAGAUUUCACCAGAUAUUUUCCUUAGCUAGUAAUGUUGAGUAAAAUGUUUUUUACGAGAGUGGUCAAAGAUGAGAAUGUUUAGGAAUUUGAAAAAAAUAGCCAACUUGAUUUUCUUUCUGAUUUGUGGACAAAUGGAUAUGAACGUAAAGGCCAAAAUAAUAGUGAAGGGCCGGUGCCGAAUUGGACCCCACUAUCACAAAAUACGAUCAUAAAACGUCCAAAUGGGUCCCAUACCACAGCAAAAAUCUGACGUGGCACAUUCCUUUUUGGAAAAAUGAUAAUGUAUAGCUGCGGUAAAAAUAAUAGCCAAAAUUAUAUAUUUUUUGUAUAUAUAUAUAUUUUUUAUAUUAUAUACAAAAAUUAUAUAAAUUUUAUAUAUUUUUUCAGCUAUUAAAUAUAAAUAGUUUCUGAUUCGGAUUAAAAGAGAUAAUAUCUCAUUCUUUUUCGAUCCAUGUCAUCCCACAUACUUUUGGGCUUUCUCUGAAUGGGCCCUACUUUAAUAUGUUUAAUAGGGCCUUGUGGGACCAUACCUAAGCCUUGAGAUGCUUUCCAGGUACUACACCUCGUGCUUUGGGUCCCACUAGCAUGAUUUCGCCACGCUGGAGUUGUGUCAUCCGCCACUCUAUCACGGAUUGUAAUUAAGUGGUAAGUACUUGUUUAUUCGAACGAAAAUAUUUAUAAAAGAACUGACAAAUUUUAAGAGGAAAGUAGUAUGGUAAGCAAAGAAGCCCUAAUCGACUUCUCGGAUUUGUCUCUGGGACUACGUUAACGUUAAGUUUAAAUACGGAUAUCAUAUGAACUAGUAUUAUACUUAUAUGUAAAUUCGCCUAAUAUAUCCCGUGCACCUCUUCUUCCUAAGCUUGUCAGCUAAGAAGACGAAUUCUUUCUCUCUGAUCCUGCCUCGUCGACCUGCCUUUCGUCACGGUCGUCACACUAAUCCAAUAAGUGUUCGCUAAAAGUGAAAUUUUUUAAGUUUAAACUUUAUUUAUUAGCAUAAAUUAUACGAACAAAUGUUGUUACCGAAAUGAUGUUAGACAUGCUGACACAUUUCUGAAUAGAAAAAGUAGGCAGUACUAUUUGAUAUUGUCCUUAACUAUGAUUGACAUUGAUACCAGUACAAAAGAGAAUAUAUAGCACAUUAAAUUUGAUUUUAUAAUUUCUCAAGCUAGAGUUUCUAAUAAAGAAUUUCAUCAAAAGCCUGUUGUUUCAACUACUAUUAAGUACAUUUUUAUCACUUAAAAUGCAUUAUAAUUCUUAUUAUUAAGAUCGCAAAACAGUCAAUAAACACUAAAUUUUGGACUAUAGCAGUGGGGGGGGGGGGGGGGGACAAGGCAAGAGUCGUCAUCAGAAUAUACAUCUCGAAUUAGAGUGCACAAAGCGUAGUCAAGAAUGUAUUAAUUAGUGCUAAUACUUAUAUUAUCCCUAUAAACUAAGGUUAUUUUAAGACUUUUGGUUGAUUUAGAUUGCUUAAAGUCAUACAUGAUUUAAUAAUCAGAGGUGGAACCAGAAUUUGAAAUUAUUGCGUUCAGGAUUCUAGCCUUUUAUGUUAUUGGAUUUUAAAGUAGGAAUUUGUCCUUAUUUAGUGGAUUUUUUAAGACAUAUAUAAGGCUUACACUAAAGCUAUUGGGUUCGGUCGAACCCGGUACCGAAGCUCUAGCUUUGCACCUGUUAACAAUUUAAAUACACCUUAAUUAUAUGAAAGUUUAUAUGUUUUGUAAGAAAAAUACGAGACUAGUGAAGAUUCUUUCCGAUAAGAAGCUUAGCUGUAUUAUUAUGUACGAUACAUGUUACUCUGUAAAGGUAUAAAAAGAUAGAACGAAUUACUGAUAACAUUUUUAUUACUAUUUUUUUGCCGAUUCAUAUACAAAUAGAGGGACCCAUUUAGGAAUUUUAAUACAUUGACUGUGGCAAAACCAAGUUGGUAUAUAUCCACGUAAAUUGUUUAAAGAUGGGAUAUAAAGUGUGAUGGCUCUUUUGUUUGGCUACUUUCCUUUGAAUACUUUGAUAUUCUUUUAAUCCCACUAUAAUAAUUUUAUAUGUAAUCUUCUAAUUGACAUCUUAAUUACAGGGCUUCCAUAGUCCAUACUCUUUAUCCCACAAAAAGAAGAUACAAUUUUUAGUAGAAAAAUAGAAACAUGUAGGGCGCGUUUUAUCCCUUUAUGCUAUUUCAGGCACAAACUAAAAUUAUUUGUUAGUGAAUUUUGUAUAUCGAAUGAUUAAAUUUAUAAUAGUUGAAAUUACUAACAAUCCUUUGUUAAAGUAACUCUGUAAAGGAAAGUAAAUAAUGCUAAUAUGUUUUUUAAAAUUUCAACAUAUCAAUAAUACUCAUACUGAAUAAUCAGUUGCAAUUUGAAUGUUGCAGUUUGAAUAGAAGAAAAAAAAUUAUGUGUUUUAUAUUAUCUAUCUCCUGUGUCUUAACAUGAAAUCUUUUUUGGAACAUUUGUAAUAAGUCAGAAAACUGAUAAACUCGAGAUUUUGACACUUUGCAAGUGUGAUAUAUUUAUAUAACAGUUCAAGAGUAAGUAAUAUGAUAGUAUAGAACUUUAAGAUUUAAGUUAUUAUUAUUGUUAUUAUUAUUAUUAUUAUUAUUAUUAUUAUUAUUAUUAUUAUUAUUAUUAUUAUUAUUAUUAUUAUUAUUAUUAUUAUUAUUAUUAUUAUUACCAAUUACUUGGAUAAUAAAGAAUACAAACCCUUCAAAAAAUUAUUAGAUCUUUGUCAGGAUUUUACAAUCAUGAAUGUCUUAAUCAAUUUUAUUGUCUUAGAAAAAGUAAUUCGAAUAUCUACACUAUUAACAUGUUAGUAUUGUUGAAACGAACAUACUCACAUGACUUUUUGUCCACCUCUCUAUAGUAUAUAGUAAGUUAUUUUUUUCGAUUUUUCACCCGAUGACCUUGUACUGGAAUUGUACUAUUUAUAUAGUAGAAAAUUGAUAUCUUAUUUAUCACGAGCCAGUCACUUGAGUUACACUACUAGCACAAUUAAAGUGUUUAUUUGUAGAAGACUAACGAUUAAGAUCAGUAAGUUAGCUAGCUAUUGUGUAUUCUAUGUUAUAUUUUUCAAAAUUCACUGUAGUGAUUCAGAUUUAACUAUCAAAAUAUUGUUUCUUUGAUCCAACAUUUAAGGUCUUAUGAUUUUGUUCAUUUGAACUUCAACUCAAACCCUAAGGCAUUUUUACUAUUAAAUUCUGAACUCGUCCUUAUUUCCAUCCCCCUUCGUUUUGAUAUGGAAUUUAUCUUAGGAAAUCUUCACGACGAACAUACCUUUUGAGUUCAAUCGCUAGUAGGUUGUUACAUUAAGCGCUCUACUUUAAUAUUGAAUCCGACCUAUAUUUUUCCUUCAUUUUUUGUACAAGAUAUAGCUCCUAGUUUUUUUUUUCCCCCUAAAAGUACAUUAGUAAAAAUAUAUUUAAGGAUGUGGGAACCCAUCUCCAAGGUUUUCCAAUCCUGUCCAAGUCGUUUUUUUCCUCUUAGUUUCUUUUGUUUUGCUGCGACAAACUUGCGUAACGUGUGUUUCUUCUUUUUUUGCUUUUGAUUUCUUUCGUAUUAUUUUUCUUUUUUGGACACAUCUCAUUAUAUCCUUUUCAAUAAUAAUGGUGCAUUCCGCAUUUCUUCUUCCUCCAAAACAUUUGAGAAUCUUGAUAUUCCUCACCUCAUUUAUUUUUUAUCGGUAACAUAGAAAAUUAAAUAAAAUUUACCGCCAUAGUCCAUAUACAUCACUCAGAAUCUUGAUAUUUCUCACUUUCAGUUCUAGGCAAAGAUGAAAAAGGAAUUACACAAUUUGAUCAUUUAUAAAAUAAUUACAAGCAUUUUUUAUGAUAAGAAUUAAUUUAUAAACUUAAUAGAGUAAUAAGUAAUACGUUAUAAUCGGUUAAAUUAUAUUGAUCAUAAAAAAGAUUUUGCAUUAUCGGUAUAUAUUUUAUACGCUCUUUGUGGACAUGAAGUGAGAAAUCAACCCUCACUCGUUGGCAAUCGCAAGACAAUUCUCUUGACAUGCAAUACUUACAUAUAAUAACAAGAUUCCCUCAAAACGACAGCUAUUAGUUCUGUUUUGUUUAAUCAUCGUAAGCAUCAGGUUUGUCGGCUUCUAAUCUUUCAUUAUAACUAAAAUAGGUUCUCGGUGCACAAAGCAUUUCGCGAUGGGUCUUGAAAAAGUCACCCUCUUUAGGCUAAUUUUUAUGGCUCAAACAAUACUUGACUAGUGGCAGAACCACAAAAUUACAAUGGGGUAUCAAAAUAUAAAAAGGUAAAACACAUGCACGAAGAAUAUAAGGGGAAUCAGUAUACUUUCUUACGAAGGGGUGUAAAUACCCCUUAGCAUAACUGUUUACCCUCAAAAUCGGAUAACAAUUGAAUUUAUAAGUGAUUUUAAGAAUACGUGGAUUAACUUUAUACAAAACGAUAAUUUAGAUUGUAAUUUAAAUAAAUAAUGAUAAAAUAAAUACAAACCACACGAAUUGAACAAUCUCAGCCUUGGAAGGUUAAUCACCCUUGAGUUGGACGUACUUCGAUCGGUAUCAAGACACAGAAGAAUAAGAGAUUAAUGAGAAUAAUAAUGUAUUGCUUUGGAAUGCGUGUUACAAUCUCCUUUACAAGUAACCAGACUCCCUUUAUAUAGUAGGGGAGUCCUAUAUUAGUUAUAACUCUAUAAAAGGUAAAAAAUCUCUUGAUUUGUUGAUCGCCGAUUCCUUAUUGAUACGUGCCGAGAUUCCCGCCGUAAUAUCCGACCGGUUACUGAUAUUUCGGUCUUCUGUUAUGCUAACAAUGUUUCUUCGAUGUCGUUUGAACCAGGACCGAUUCCAGAGUCACGGCCUCGGUGUUAUUGAAGGCAGGUGUUUGUUCCCGAUUGCUAACCCGGUGGGGCUUGGGGACGAUCUUCAGUCCUUUAUUGCUAUGUCUCGAGCCCGGCCUAUCAUGUCGGAUGCUAGGGUAUACUACAAGCUCGAUUUUACCUGUAUACAGAUAGUCCCCUCGUUUUUCGGAGAGUAGAUGAUGAGAAACGAUAUGAGCUCCCGAUUCUCACUUCGAUAUACCGUGACAAAAAUGUCAAACUAGUUGAAACGUCCCGUCGGUCUAGUCUUAAUAGAAUUAAAUGCUUGUCAGUUAUCGGUCGGCCACUCCAGAUGUGAACCGUCGUUGGAAAAAUAUAAAUACCCUUCCAUUUGUUCAUUCAAACUUUUCCAUCCAAGCUUUCUGCCCUCGUGUCUAUGAAAUUUCAAUACUUCCAAGCACUUAUAUUCUGGUUCCUUUGAGAUCUUUUAUAAGAACUCUUAUUGGUCUUCAUCCCAAACCAUCAAGUGUACUCUUUUAACUUCUUCUUUUCCCUCAUUUUUUCUCCAUAUUUAUAAGAAAUGGCGAAGACUUCAAAAUCCGUUCCCCAAAAAGAAACUCUUUCUACCUCGCGGUCGGCUACCGAUGAUAAUGUCUCACGUACUACUAUCGAGGAACAGGUACCGGAACCUCCUCUGAAAAUGUUCAUCCCCGGGGGGUGCCCGGUCAAUGUUGAUUUUAAAGUCGAAAAGCCCUCCUCCGUACCAGGCCGGUACGAGGAGGUCUCGAGAUACAUCUGCUCGGUCACCGAGGAUAUUUUCUCAGAAGUCAAAAAGAAUUGCAACUGGGUUGACAAACAUAUGGUGAUUCCCGAACCUGACGAAUCCAUUACCACCCACGUCGAGGGAUUUUUAAGUGUUUUCACUUAUCCCUUCAUGCCGGGCCCCUUGGACCCGGUUAUCAUCAACUUUUGCAAAAGAUACGAGGUAACUCUCGGUCAAAUUCACCCUUAUUUCUGGAUAAUCGUAAUCCUCCACCGUUUCUUUGUAAGCAAGAUCGAAGUGUACCCCUUCACUAUCGACCGCCUCAUGAUUUAUACAAUCCCCGACUCUAUCGGGGAGAUUGAUCAAGCUCGCCCGUCGGGCCAGUAAAGCCCUGUUCUCGAGUAUCGAUGAAGAUCGGGAUCGAGGUUGGCUAGGCCGUUUCGUCCGAGUGAGGACUUCAGACUUGAUCCCGUCCGAGCACAUGUCGUUCCAUGAGAAGUGGAACAUGUCAUGUAAGUAUAAUUUUGCUUCCAAGAUUUAAUUUAUCGCUUUUUUCCUUUAUUCUUAUCGGUGUUCUGUGGUGGUGCAGUUGUUGUUCGGAUCCCGAAUGCAGUUCUUCGACUCAAGGAGUGAGUCGAGGGCAUCGUAUUACAAAGUUCUUAUUCCGAGCAUUCGUGGCGCGAGCUUUCAAAGGGCCGAUGGGAGGCCCGUUCGCAGGGUGAGAUCUCUUUCAUGAGCAAUAUUUGGUUUCCCUUUUGCAUCAUUAAGUUCUCACUAGUUUCUUUCCUUUUGCAGGUUUAUCCAAGGAUGUCAAAAUAAGGGCCCUAUCCGGUAGCGAUGAUUUCCCUACCGAGUCCCCUGCUCCAAGACAGGGUGAAGAGAAGAAAAGAAAAGGGGCUUCGAGUUCUUUGAGCUCGGAGAAAAAGAAGCCAAGGAGAAGGUUGGUGCGUAAAUCCAAAGAAAGCACCAGUGCUCGAGCACCAUCUCCGGAUUCACUCUAUCGACUGAGUGAUGAAUCCAAAGGAGAAGGAGAAGCCUUCGAUCUGAUGGCCAUGGUGCCGUCGCGGCACAAAGUUAGGGAGGUCGAAGAGGAGGUCAGGACCGAAUCUUCUCGGGAUAUGGGAAAUACCCCGAAGGAAGCACUAAGUGUGAUAGAGAUCACCGAGCCACCCCCGUUUACUGAGUCCAUGAACAACGAGGCCCAAAUAGCUAAAGGACGCCCCAUUGAGGGAGACCAUGGAGCGGACGACCCCUUCCUUGGGUUUUUUGACGGAGUGGACUCUACGGCCACGGAGGACGUCACCGGGUUAGGUGACUUAGAGAUACCGAGGAAGAGCCCAUCUUAGGGAGCAAAUGGACCUUCCUCGAGCCCCAAACUGGUCAAUCCAUUCCCUACUCUCAGUAUGGAUCCUGGACGGAAGCGAUCCAUUGUUAUCUCCCUUCCGGAGGAUGCCCGAGUCCUCUCCGCCUCCGUAGGGGUGGCCAAUUAUCUUCGGUGUCUGGUGACUGAGGAUGAUUAGGCUAAGAUGAACGAGGUGGAUGCACCUCAGUUGUUCAAUGAAGCACAACAUGCGUUAAACUGGGAUUUUGUCUUUGUGCUUGUAGGCCUCGGUGUUUCACCAUGAGAUUUUUCUGCGAUAUCGGGAUGAGCUGAAACAGCUCAAAGCCGAGGUCCUUGGGCUCACUGAGAAGAGAAAUGCUUAUAAACUUCUUAGCGAGCAGUUUGAAGGGGAGGCUAAGAGCUUCCGAGCUGAGCUGGAGGUUGCUCGGAAGGAUCAUGCCAACCUGACCGAGCAGGUAAACAUAUUUGAGGUUAGUGAUGAUGGACUAGGUUUGGUGACUGAUGAUCGAAAUCUGCAGGUCCAACAGAAUAUCGAUCGAAUCGAUCAUCUCCGAGCCGAGAUAGAUGCAAUUAAGGCCAAGACCGAAGAAUGGAGAGGCAGAAUGGACUGUCUGGCCUCGAAAAAAAUGUUGCUCGGGCACAACUGACUUCUGCUGAGGUCCGGCUUCGAGCGAUAAAGGAAAAGGCCGAGGUGCAGGCCAAAAAGGUUGAAAAGAUCCAGUCUCAACUAAGUUCGGUCGCCUCUAAUCGAGAAUUUAUGGCCAAGGAGAUUGAAACAGCCAAGUCAGCGGCCGUGGUGGUCUAAGACGAAGUCAACGAGAUGGUGGCCCAAUAUAAGGCCGAUGCCGAGGCGGCCAGGACCGCUUGAAUGACUUUGUUGAAUAUGAGAAGUGGCAGUCACAAAGAGAGGCCCUCGAAGAGAUUCAAGCUCAGGGUUUGGAUCUGUCGGCCGAGAUCAAAAUCGCUAAGGGGCUCGAGGCCGAGGCCAAGAAGUUGGCUUACCCCGAGGAAGAAGAGAAAGAAGACUCUGAGGGUCCCGGUGGAUCCGGGGGUGGAGAAGACAGGCUAUUUAGACGCCUUUGUAGAUGUUUUUGCUUUUUUUAUUUUUUGUACUUGUGUAUUUUUGUAUUUUUUGUCAAGUCCGUUUGGCCUUUCUAAAGACUUUAUGUAUAUAUAAUACAAGGCUUCCUUUUUCCUUCGAAAAGUUUUGAGUUUUGUGUUUCUUUGCUUUAUUCUUAUAUGUUUGCAAAGAUCGAAAUGCCUUAGCAUGAACUAGUUAGGUCAUGUUCAGAGGUUUGAACAUGCCUUAUCUUUGACAUUAUUUUGUCUAAGGCAUCGUGGGGGGUUCGGUAUUACCCGAACGUUUCCCCAAAGCACUUAUAAUUUUUUUUAUUAUAGUUUGCUGAGGGUAGCCUUUAGAACCGAUUUAGAAAUUUUUUAAGGCCUUGUUUUUUUAUUACGGGUCACGGACGUCUCCGUGCCGUUUUAAUAUGGCUGUAGCCUUUUAGUUCGGGUGUUGCCCAGUGGGCUUGUCACCUCAAGUUAUCCAGGCUUGCCUAAGAUAACAGUCCCCGAAUGGGGAUGGCCGUAGCCUUUAAGGUUCAGGCGUUGCCUAAUAGGUCUUGUGCCCCCGGGCUCCCUCAGCCCGAGCCGUCCGAGUUUGUUUUUGGACGACAAUCCCCGAUUGGGAAUGAUUGUUUGAAACCAGAUAACGGUGGCCCUUGGGCUCGAUAUCUUUAGGGGAUCGAAUGUAGGAAAUUCCUUAAAAGGAAAGAAAAAAGAGAAAUUCUUAAGGGAUAAGAUAUUUAUCCGCAAGGUUGAGACUUCUUUUUAUUCUUGUGCGUAAUAGUUAUACAUAUGUACAAGCUUUGUGCCAGGGCUCGAGCAGUCUAUGCGGGCACGGUUCAUUUAACUGUUUGGCCCUUAUAGUAAAUUCUAUCGAUCGAGCCUAGACCAUUCAGUCAUAAAGUUUCUUUCUUUGCUAAAGUCGUUCUCCGAGAGUAAUGCCCCCUAGUGUUCGGGGCCGAUCGUAGAGAGGCCUCGAAUACUGUUAUCGUGAUCUUCGAUACCGGUUCAUAACCGGCCUUCAAUUAUAAUUUAGAAUAAUUUACUGUUGCCUCGUUAUAAACCUUGCCGAAAAGCCCAUUUGGGACAAAACUGAUUCAAGGGAAAAAGAGUGCAACGCGUGCUUUUAGGCCUAAAAAUUGUAUCGCUCCUUGUUUGUUACCUGCAACUAUUAGUUCAAAAUAAAAGAAAUGAAUGGGGUCGUACCUUAGCAGUUAAUAUCGUUUCAAGUGAGUUAUAUUCCAGUUGUUCGAUAGUUGCUUGUCGUUCAGUGCUCCGAGUUUGUAGGACCCUUUUUCGGUGAUCUCGAUAAUUUGAUAUGGACCUUCCCAGUUCGAUCCCAACUUCCCUUCGUUCGGGUUUCAGAAGUUUAGUGUAACCUUUCUUAAUACCAAGCCCCCGAUAUCGUGUCAAAGGUUGGCCCUUCGAUUAUAAUAUCUCUCGAUUCGCUGCUUUUAGGCGACCAUUCGGACAAGGGAGGUUUCGCGCCUUUCAUCUAAUAUAUCCAGGCUUGUAUUCAUGGCCUCGUCGUUUGAUUCCCUGGUUGCAUUCGAAACCUGAGACUUAAUUCUCUGACUUUGACCGGUAUUAUAAUUUCGGUGUCAUAAACCAGUGAGAAUGGGGUGGCCCUGGUACUGGACUUCGAGGUCAUACGGUAUGCCCAUAAGACUUCGGGCAGGAUUUUCUUCCAUUUUACUUUGGCGUCAGUUAACCACUUUUUGAGAUUCUGGAGUAUAGUUUUGUUGGUCGAUUCUGCUUGUCCAUUCCUACUAGGGUGAUAGGGUGUUGAUAGGAUCCUUUUGAUCUUGUGGUCUUCGAGAAACUUGUUUACUUUGCUGCCGAUGAAUUAUUUCUCGUUGUCACACACGAUCUCGGCCGGCAUUCCGAACCGGCGUAUGAUGUGGUCUCAUAUGAAGUCGAUGACCUCCUUCUCCCUGACCUUCUCGUAUGUCUAGGCUUUCACCCACUUAGAAAAAUAGUCAGUCAUAAACAAUAUGAAUUGAGCCUUACAAGGUGCCCAUGGAAGGGGGCCAACGAUGUUCAUUCCCCACUUCAUGAAUGGCCAUGGUGACAGAACCGAAUGCAACAGCUCCCCGGGUUGAUGAAUCAUUGGAGCAUGUCUUUGACAUUCGUCACAUUUUCGUUAGAACUCCUUCCCGUCUUUUUUCAUAUCGAUCCAGUAAUAGCCAGCUCUGGUUACUUUUUGAAAUAAUGAUUCGGUGCCUAAAUGCUUUCCACAGGUGCCUUCGUGGAUUUCCCUCAUAACGUACUCGGUGUCUCCCAGUGCUAGACAUAUCACGAGCGGGUCAUCGAAUAUUCUUCUGAAUAGGGCCCUCGAUUCUUUUGGAUUCGAGGGCAGUUUUCCGGUCUUUAGAUAUCCUAUAUAUUUGUUUCUUCAGUCCCAAGUUAGGCUCGUUAGGUUAAUCUCAGCAUGGCCUUCUUUCACUACUGAUCUCACAAGUUGUACGACUGCCCCCGAAUUGAACUCGUCGUCCUCGACCGAUGACCCUAAGUUAGCAAGGGCAUCGGCCUCACUGUUUUAAUCCCGAGGUAUAUGUUGCAAAGUCCAUUCUUUGAACCGAUGUGAUGUUACCUGCAACUUAUCCUGGUACCUUUGCAUUCGUUAUUCUCUAACCUCGAACGUCCUAUUAACUUGGUUCACCACGAGGAGGGAGUCGCACUUGGCUUCGAUCACCUCUGCCCCAAGCUUUUGGCUAGUUCGAGACCUGCAAUCAUGGUCUCAUAUUCGGAAUUGUUGUUAGUCAAUUUCAUAGUCCUAAUAGAUAGUCUAACUAUAUUUCCUGUUGGUGGCUUCAACACGAUGCUAAGUCCGGACCCUUUUGCAUUCAAGGCGCUGUCCGUAAAGAGGAUCCAGAUCCACGAAGAUGUCCCCGAGUUCACCAACAACUCUCUUUCGACCUCGGGUAUUAGGGCCGGCGUAAAGUUGGCCACGAAGUCCGCCAAUAUUUGAGAUUUAAUGGUGGUCCAGGGUUGAUAUUGAAUAUCGUACCCGCUGUUCUCCAUGGCCCAUUUGGCCUAUCAUCCCGAGAGUUAAGGUUUAUGAAUUAUAUUUCGCAAUGGGUAAGUAGUCACAACACAUAUAGGAUGACAUUGAAAAUAUGGUUUCAGCUUCCUAGAGGCGCUUAGCAAAGCAAACGCCAAUUUUUCUAGGUGAGGGUACCUAGUUUCGGCCUCACCUAGAGUUCUGCUAACAUAGUAAAUGGGAAAUUGUGUACAUUGCUCUUCCCGGACCAGGACUCCACUUAUCGCUAUCUCCGAUACUGCCAAGUACAGGUAUAGUUGUUCGUCUGUCUUCAGCGUGUGAAGUAUGGGUGGGCUCGAUAGAUAUCGCUUGAGUUCCUUCAAGUCCUGUUGGCACUCCGGGGUCCAUGAGAAGUUAUUAUUCUUCUUCAAUAGUGAGAAGAAUCAGUGGCUCUUAUGGGAGGACCUCGAGAUGAAUCGCCCUAGGGUGGCUAUGCUCCCGAUUAAUCUUUGCACGACCUUUAUGUUGUCCACAACCGUGAUAUCUUCGAUGGCUUUGAUCUUGUCGGGGUUGAUAUCGAUUACCCGGUUGGAUACCAUGAAUCCAAGGAAUUUACCUGACCCAACUCCAAACGCACAUGGGUUCAACUUCAUAUUGUAUUUCUUUAAUAUGUUGAAGGUUUCCUGCAAAUGUUCUAAAUGGUCCUCUCCUCGCAGAGACUUAACCAACACAUCGUCAAUGUAAACCUCCAUUGAUUUUCCUAUUUGUUCCUCGAACAUCCGGUUUACUAGGUGUUGGUAAGUGGCCCUGGCAUUUUUUAAUCCGAAUGGUAUCAUGUUAUAGCAAUAUGUGUCGCAUUUAGUGAUGAAUGAGGUUUUUUCCUGAUCACCCGGGUUCAUCCGUAUUUGGUUGUACCCGGAGUAGGCAUCGAGAAAAUUGAGGAUCUUGUGGCCGGCCGUGGCAUCAAUCAUGCGAUCGAUGUUGGGCAAAGGUAAGGAGUCUUUGAGACAUUCCCUAUUCAAAUCCUUAUAGUCUACACACAUUCUCAAUUUAUUCCCUUUUUAGGGACUACCAUUACGUUCGCUAACCAAUCUGGGUAUUUAACCUCCCGAAUGGACCCUAUUUUAAGGAGUUUAGAUACCUCAUCCUUUAUGAAAGCAUGUUUGACCUCGGACUGGGGCCUCCUCUUCUGCUUGACCGGAUGGAACUUCGGGUCCAGGUUUAGCUUGUGAGUGGUUAUUUCUGGCGGGUUCCCUGUAAUAUCAAGGUGGGACCAAGCGAAACAACCUAUGUUACCUAUAAGAAAUUGAAUGAGUUUUUUUCUGAACUCAGGACUUAACCCCAUGCCCAGGUAUACCUUCCGGUCGGGUAGAUGCUCGAUCAAUAUGACCUGUUCCAUCUCCUCGACUAUCGAUUUAGUGGUGUCGGCAUCAUCGGGGGCUAUAAAAGACCCGGGAACCCCGUAAUCAUCGUCUUCAUCAUUCCCCUAUUUCUAAGGUUGGGUGAGGGUUGGUGUCGGUAAUUGCUAUUUAGCUUCUUGCUUUGUGACUGAACUCAGACCCUUUAUCGUUGCAAGUGCGGAUAUCGAAAUUGCCUCUUCGACUGCAAACAUCUCCUUUGCGACUGGCUGUUCUCCGUAGAUUGUUUUAAUCCCACCUGGUGUUGGGAAUUUUAACACUUGGUGUAGAGUCAAGGGAACUGCCCUCUUGUUGUGGAUCCAUGGCCUCCCAAACAAAGUGUUGUACCUAAUGCCUCAUUCGAUUACAUAAAACUUAGCUUCCUUGAUGGUCCCGGCGGUAUUCACCGGUAAUGUUAUCUCCCCCUUAGUGGUUUCACAUGCCAUGUUGAAACCGUUUAGAAAGCGGACUGCAUACACGAUUUGAUCUUGUAGACCGAGCUGCUCCAUGAUCCUCGAUCGGAUGAUGUUGGCCGAGCUACCUGGGUCAAUUAACACAUGCUUAACUCGAUAUUUAUUUAUGAGUACAGAUAUUACCAGUGCAUCAUUGUGGGGCUGCAUGAUCCCUUCCGCGUCUUCAUCGUUAAAAGACAAGGUUCCUUCCGGUAUGUAAUCUCGAGUCUAUUUUUCCCUCGUGAUGGAUACUUUGGUGCGCUUCAACAUCGGCCCCUGAGGGGCAUCGACCCCACCGAUGAUCAUGUUAAUGACGUGUUGAGGUUCUUCUUGUUCAGUCUGUUUGUUAGAAUCCAUAUUCCUGAAAUGAUUCUUGGCUCGGUCGCUCAGGAAUUCUCGAAGAUGCCCGUUGUUGAAUAGUCGGGCUACUUCCUCUCUCAACUGUCGGCAAUCCUCCGUUCUGUGGCCGUGAGUACCGUGAUAUUUACACAUCUAGUUAGGAUCCCUUUGGGUUGGAACAGAAUGUAGAGGUCGAGGUCAUUUGGUGUCCUUGAUGCGUCCGAUAGCUGAUACAAUGGCGGCAACAUCGAUGUUAAAUUUAUAAUCCGAUAACCUCGCUGCUUCCUUAGGCCCGAUAGGCCUGUCGAAACCGUUCUUGCCCAUGAUUCCCCUGGUUAUUUUGACAUCGAUCACUUCUCCUUUCACUUCUUAUGGGAUUUCUCCCAGAUCCGUUACCUCUUUGAUCCCUGCUUAAUCUCGGUUCACGAUCAAUGUCUCUCUUGGCUCUAUCGACGGCUCUGACGGGAUAAACGGACCCCGAAGGGGCCCCAAAUUGAUCAUCCUCGACUCUGAUUUUCUAUUGAUACCGGUUAUGUACGGCGGCCCAAGUAACAGUCGGAUAUUCUAUCGGGUUUUGUUUCAACUGCUGUGAAGCCACCGAGCUUCGAACAUUGAGUCUGUGGGUGAAAUCUUGAACGGCCCAAUCAUCCGCAAUCGGGGUUAAGUCCAUUCUCUCCAUUUGAAAUUGGGACACAAAUUCUCUGAGCAUUUCAUUAUACCGCUAUUUUACUUUGAAUAGGUCAGACUUCCUGGUCUCGACCUUGAUAGCUCUGACAUGUGCUUUUACGAAGGAAUUUGCAAGCACAACAAACGAGUCAAUAGAAUUAGGAUGUAGGUUAUGGUACCAUAUCAUGGCUCCCUUUGACAAGGUCUCUCCGAACUUCUUCAACAAGACAGACUCGAUCUCAUCAUCCUCCAAGUCGUUCCCUUUUAUUGCACAUGUGUAGGAGGUUACAUGCUCAUUUGGGUCGGUCAUUCCGUUGUACUUAGAAAUCUCGAGCAUGCGAAACUUCUUAGGGAUCGGCUUUGGAGCCGCACUCGGAGGAAAAUAUUUUUGCACAAACUUCUUGGAAUCCAGGCCUUUCAAUACCGACGGUGCUCCUGGGAUUUGGUCGACCCUAGAAUUGUAGGUUUCCAUCUUUUUGUUAUUAGCUUCGAUGUUCUUCUCCCCUGAUUAUACCCGUUUGGUCAGUUCCUCGAGCAUCUUUAUGAUCUUAGGUUAGUCCCUGAUUCGUUGUCAUUCGACCUCUCUGCAACCGGUUCAUCCCUGUGGGUGAUUUCCCAGGACGGAUCGAGUUCAAUUCUGCUCGGUGCGCGGCUUUGGUUCUAUAACUAAGCUAUUACCGCAUGUUGAGCCUGCAACAUUUCAAAGAUCACCCGUAGACUGAUCCCGUAUCCUCCAAUGUUUUGUGUAUUUUGAGUUGCCGAUCGGGUUCUACCACGGACGCUAUUCUCGGGGUCGGUAGGCAGGUUUGUGUCGAUAGCCACAUGUGAAUUAGCGUCGAUUUGGUCUACGACCGGAAUUCCGAUGGGAUCAACGGGCGGUACCUCGUCAACGGGCGCUAUGUUGUUAUUUUUGCCGUGAUGACCUAUAACAACCCGAAAAGGUUUGAAGUACUUAAGUGUAAAGCUCGAUAAAUUUUGCAAAGAAAUAAUGUUUCAUGGUGCCGGACUAGGCUUACGUGGCUCAGACUUUUUGGGUUGAACAAUGCACGGAAAAGUGAAGGAAUAUUUUUAGCAGAAAAGUGCGUUUAUGCGGUCCAUUAUGCGACCGCAUAAUCACUCUGUGGGCCGCNNNNNNNNNNNNNNNNNNNNNNNNNUGUGCAUUAAUAAUGUUUCGACUUCAAGUCAAGUUCAAACGAAGGCUAUUAUGCCAAAUUUUGUGAAAUAUCUCUAUGCGCCUUAGACUCUAAAUUUUUCACAUGUGUACUACACACCUUGAUUUGAAUUGUAUUUGUUAUUGAUGAUGAUGAUGAUAUUUGAAAUUGAAAUGGUGAGCAGGAAAUACUGAAUAUGGCCAAUGUGCCAAGAUUGAUCUUAUAAUUUUGGCUAUUAUUGCCAAUUAAAUGAAAAGAUGUGAAAGUAAUAUGAAAUGCGAUGAUUGAUAUAAAAAGGUUGAUGUCUCGAUUAAGACAGCCUAGCCGAGCGGGUCGUGAUCGGACACCAUGCCGCACACAUGGUGGUGAUUGUGCUGGAAAUUGUAAUUGAAAUGGUAAUUAUGGUUGAUGUCCCUAAUGGAUAGCCUAGCUGAUCGGGUCGUGAUCGGACUCCGUGUUAAAGACGGUGGUAUUGAUAUUGAGAGAAAUUGUGGUUGAUGUCUCAAAUGAGAUAGCCUAGCCGAUCGGGUCGUGAUCGAACUCCGUGCUAAGAGUAUAGUGGUACUGGUUUUUGUGAAUAUUGGUUUUGUGAGUAAUGGUAUUGUGAAUAAUGGUAUUGUGGACAAUGGUAUAUCGAUACUAAAAUUCUCCCAGUGUGAGAUAUGAAAAUUUAUUUGAACAGUGUCUUGAUCCUAAAUUGAGGUUUGAUGUUGAAUAAAGCUUUCUUUGAUAUUAUGAUAAUCUUGUUUGUAUUAUUUGUCAUUCUAUUGAGAGGAUGUUUAGUUAUACAUACUAGUGCUAUUCGAUAGUACUAGCGUCCCUUUUGCCGGGGGAGUUGCAUCUUUUAAUGGAUGCAGGUGGUUCCACAGUAGGAGAUAUUGGUGAGUGAUAGCAUUGCACCUUCUUUCCAACUGACUUGGUGAGCCCCGCUUCAUUUCGGGGUCAUGAAUCUUUUAUACUUUGUAUUCUGUUUGAGGUAUAGCCGAGGCCUUGUUGCCGGCAUUAUCAUUGUACUCUUCUUUAUCUAUAGAGGCUCCGUAGACAUAGUGUGGGUUGUGUAUUGGUGCUGGGAAAGACAAGCUAUGCUAUGUUGUGGUUGUAUUACUUGUCCAUUUGAGACUUUAAAAAUAGUGAAACUUAUGAUAAGAAAUUGGUAAUUGUAGACAUCACCACUUUAUUGUUUAAUUAAGGAAAACAUAUAUUCUCUUUAUUCAUGAAUGAGUUUGGGUAGAAGGGAUCUAACAGGCUUGCUCGGUCGGGUUCACUCGGUUGAGCCCCGAUCGCGCUCCCCGGUUUUGGGGCGUGACAUGACCGGACUCAUUGUCAAUAUGUAUGGGUACUGAUUGAGAGUUCGAUAUUUUAAAUUUUAACCUGAAUUUAGAGACACUUCAAAGAAUAAGUGUAAAGUAGUGUGUGUUAUGGAGAUUUGUAUCAAAUAACCACUAUUAUCCUUAGCCCCACGGUGGACGCCAAACUGUUUACCCUCAAAAUGGGAUAACAAUUAAAUUUGUAAGUGAUUUUAAGGAUACGUGGAUUAACUUUACACAAAACGAUAAUUUAGAUUGUAAUUUAAAUAAAUAAUGAUAAAAUAAAUGCAAACCACACGAAUUUAACAGUCUCAGCCUUGGAAGGUUAAUCACCCUUGAGCUGGACGUACUUCGAUCGGUAUCAAGACACAGAAGAAUAAGAGAUUAAAGAGAAUAAUAAUGUAUUGCUUUGGAAUGCGUGUUACAAUCUCUUUUACAAGUAACCAGACCCCCUUUAUAUAGUAGGGGAGUCCUACAUUAGUUACAACUCUAUAAAAGGUAAAAAAUCUCUUGAUUUGAUGAUUGUCGGUUCCUUAUUGAUACAUGCCGAGAUUUCCGUCGUAAUAUCCGACCGGUCACAGAUAUUUCGGUGUUCUGUUAUGCUAACAAUGUUUCUUCGAGGUCGUUUGAACCGGGACCGAUUCCGGAGUCACGGCCUCGGUGUUAUCGAAGGCAGGUUUUUGGUCCCGGUUGCUAACCCGGUAGGGCUUGGGGCCAAUCUUCAGUCCUUUAUUGCCAUGUCUCGAGCCCGACAUAUCAUGUCGGAUGCUAGGGUAUACUACGAGCUCGAUUUUACCCGUAUACAAUAAGGUGGCUCCGCCACUUCCCUUGACCUAUAAGUUACAUGUAGACAAAUGUACUAUUGCUCCGAGGCUCCUCUCAAGAGCAACUUUACAAUUACAAAGGCAAAAAGGAACAAAACAUUGAGACAACAUUUAUAUUAUAAAAUAUAUAGUCAAAUCUAAGAAUAGAAAUUCAUAACUUACACGGUAGAUCCUUCGAUAGAUAGGUAGUUAUAUACUUCGAAAAUGAAAGAUUUUUUUUUUCGUUAACAAACUUACUUUAAUAUGGAUUCUGUUUCAACAUCAGAGAAGUUCUUCUUGUCCGAUAUAAAAUGAAUGUAUGAGUCAUGCUCUAAAUCUCCCCAUCCACUCUUAAAUACAAGUAGCUAAAUUAACAAUAUUGACUCUUUCAAAUAUAAAGACAGCCGAAUGCAUAAAACAUUCCUUAUUUACACAUAGGGUAUAGAGAAGGACGGCAUUACAAACACAAUUAUUAGUGUUGAUUUCACGGCUUGAAGAACUCGUAAUUUCUAGGUCAUAUGAUGAACAGAGACAGAGCUAUAGAAUUUAAAGUUUAUAUAUGAGUUCUGAAAUGAUCAUUAAACUUAUAACUCAUCUUAGUUGCUGGGUUCGUAAUUCAAUAUUUAUAUAUAUUUAAUAAAUUUUUUAAUUUGAAUUCAUCUGAACCCGUAGGUAAUAAUAUCCCUUCGCCCCCUCAUAUGAAGACGAUUAUACUAAUACUCCAAAGCUCCUUUCAAAUAUAAUCAUCUAACUUCGUUUAUAACCUAUGAAUUGUUCAAAUAAUACUAUAAGUUUAUGAAUACGUGGAAGCAACUCCAAGAUUGUUCUACUUUUGAAGAAAACAUUAUAAAGACUGUCCCUUCAAUUUCCUAUAAUUAUGGACGUCGUCGACAAGAACCUUUAAAAUAUAAUGAUUCAUGUUGGAUUCAUUUUUCACUUUUAGCACAAUUUGCAAAACCCUGGUCCAUGUUGGAACUCCUGUCUGGUUUCUAAAGUAAAUUAAUUUAUUUAUACGCAACAACAUAAAAAUAUAUUACAUUAUCGGUAUAAGUUAGUUUGUGAUAUCACUGUCAUUUUUAUCAGAUCGCUAAUUGAUAGUAAUUUUAUAGAAAUUUACUUACAAUUAUUUUACAAAUAAUAUGACUAUGUAAAUAUUUUUUAUACUAUCAAUACGUAAAACCAAAACUUUUCCAAAGUUUAUUUGAUAAUUUUGAGAAAUCAGAAACACAGACUAAACUAUUUGGCAAUCAAAACGUCGUAAAAAGGAAGGACGAUAAAAUCCUAGGUUUCUUGCCUUAAAAGUUGGUCAGUUAGAUUUGCAAUUAUUUCAUCAAUUCAUUGACUUGACUGUCUGUCAACAUAUCUAGGUUUAAUUUCUUUAUUUUUUUAAAAAAAAAAUACAAUAGAUGGAUCUUCUUCCUUGCCCUUGUUAAGCAAUAUGAUUAGGUUUUCGAAAGGGCCAAAGUGACGGUUUGACAGAUUAGAGGAGUCGAAACGAAAAUAAAAUACAAUUAAUGGAUUAUGUGGGAUUUUAGAAAUUAAUACAUUAUGAUCAUUAUUCAUUACCUCUCUAAAAAUACAUUAUUGAAAAUAAUAGAGGCCACCUUCUUUUAUGGAGUUGCUUUCAUGAUAGAUACCAUCUUAGCUUUCUUAUUUAACCAAUACACGUAAUUUUUAUUGAAAAUUGACGUACAUUUAAUAUGGGUUCAGAUGUUUUAAAUAGUGAUAUCUUUUCCUUCUUCUUUUUUUUGCCGACAUAAAUAGUGAUAUUUGAUGUAGCAAUUUUUUUAUCAUUCUAAUCAACAAGAUCGCGAAAUGUUAAUAUUGUAUUUUAUAAAUUAUUUUUCCUGUAAUGUUGGUUAAGGUACUUGUACCUAUUACAAAGACAAAGAAUGUCCAAUGCUAAGUUGUCGUAGACAAAACCCUGAUAUAAUCAAUUUUGCGCCACUGGCCUUUGAAAAUUCUCGAUUAUAAAGAAAAUAGUGUCAUGCUAGGCGCGAAAACUACAAUUUAUGAGGUAGAAAUAAUACGAGUUUGGUCCAAAACAAUUGUAGUUAUAGAUGAUUUAAUAUUGAGCAGUCUCGCUGCACAAAACAUCUCGCAUUCACGCAGGGUUCAGGAAAAGGCCGCAUUCUAAGAGUGUGAUAUAGACACUCUAUCCUAAUAAUAGUAUUGUUUGUCAAAAUAUACAAUCGUCACUUAGGCCUUAGUUAAGCACUUUAAUCGCACAAAAGAUUCAAAGUUAACAUUACUUAGGCCUCAUUUAUUUUUAUUAAGAUUAAUAUGUCUGAAUCUGAAUACACAUCUAAAUAUUAAUAUGUGUAUUAAGACUAAAAUGUAUGAAUUUGAAUUCACAUCUAAAUAUUAAGAUUUUGUAUUAAGAUUUGAAUAUUGAAUAAUUAAGACAAUUUAUUUUCUCUACAUCCGAAUGUAUAAAAUUUUCUUUAUUUGAACAGUAAUAAUUAUUAAUUCAAUCAAAUAAUACUAAUUUAUUUAAUACUAUAUUAAUAAAAUAUUUUUAAAUAUUAUAUGGUGGUUGGUGGUAGUGAUGGCUAAAGGUAGUGAUUGUGGGUGUAGACUGGGUAGUAGCUGAUGGUAGUUGAUGGUAGUGAUUAUUGGUAGUAGAUGAUGGAUGACAGUAGUAGUUAACGGUGGUGAUUAAUAGCGGUGGUGACUGUAACUAGAAUGGGUGAAAUAUAAUGGUGGCUGAUAGUGAUGAUCGAUGGUUGUUGUGAAAAUAGUGACUGGUGGUGAUGGUUGAAAAUAAUGACUAAUGAUGGUGACAACUGACAUUCGCGCUUGGCAGCGAUGAUGGUUGUGGCUGAGGAUUGGUAGUAAUAGGUGGUGGCUAGUGAUUGUGGUAGUCUAUAAUGGUAGAGAACGGUGAUAGUAAUGGUGGUGGUGGUUAGUGGUGAACGUGUCAGAUUUAUGAUGAAAUGUCAUUUUUUAAAUAAAUUCUUGAAUGUGUAACAUCUUAAUGGUAUUAAGACUCUAUUAUAUAUCUUAAUUAUUAAGAUAUAUUCAAAUUCAUUAAGUGGUUGUAAUAUUAAAAAAAAAACUUAAUGGUUAAGAUGUGAAUUAUUAAGAUUUAUAUCUAAAAAAGAAUGUACUUAAUGACUGAGAUCUGAAUGAUUAAAAUUCAGACCUCCCUCAAGUACAAAUAAAUGUGACCUUAGCGAAAUGACUCUAGAAUUAUAAGGAAUGUUCUAAAAUAACUCUUAUAGACCAAAUAAUAUUUUAAUAAAAAAAUAAGAUAUAUCAACUUAAAGGGCAUAACUAUUGAAUCAGAAUUCACGCCAACUGCCCUGAAAAAAAUAGGAGACGUGGGCCACAAGUAAUACGUAAACUGUCGAGUUGCACGACGAAAAAACACCCAAAUGCACACUCCUCCUAUCUUCUCCAUAUAAAUAUUCAUCACUUUUGGACCCCCUCUCCCUUGUGUAUUUUGAGUUGUAACAACACAUGUAAGCAGGUGAGGGCAUUUAAUUUAAAGGCUCAUGUACUCAUAGGCGAAUUCGAGAUUUAGAUUAUGUUGGUUCAACUUUUAAGAUAUUUUGCAUUAAACUCAUUGUAUUUUCAAAGUUAUGGGUUCAGACUUAUCAUUUGUUGCAAUUUUAAUGAAUUUUUAUACAUAAAUUUAUAUUCCGCAUCGAAAGUAUUGGAUUCGGAUAAACACGGUGGCCAAACUCUACAUCGGCCUCUGCAUGCACUAGCUAGUCUUAUAGAAGCACACGGAGGGGGUCCUAUUGGGAACUUCAGUUGGAUAUAAUUUUCUUCACCAGUCAUAUUCCUAGGGACCAUGACAUUGCAGUUUAACUAAUGCAUUAAAACUCUAUAACGUACCACCCAAAAACAUUGAAGUGCUCAUGCAUUAACUACCUACUCCUAUGUGUUAAUUAUAUCCUAUAUAAGAAAGUUAUUUGAUAAUAACCAUAGAAGAGAUUAAAUCACAACACGUAAACACAAAAGGCCUAAAAAUACUCUUAACAUGAUGUGAUAUUAUUCGUUUUGGGCCAAUCUCGGAUGAUUUUUCUCUGAAGGCCUCACACAAUUAAGAGAUCUCUACAUGUUAUAGUAGACUCCCAAUCUUUUCAGCUAUCAAUGUGGUACUUUGUUCGCACGCCCAACAAUCUACCAUCGAACUAAGUUGCACGUGGCCCACAUACUACGGUCAACGGGUCUCCCCCUCAAACUAAGUUCCAUGUGGCCCAUAGCCACAAUGCAUGGAUCAAUUUUCGAGAUUCACCUUGUGUCACCCACAUUGUUAGAGUAUAUACGCUUAACUCCAUGGUUCAUCAACAACAAUUGGUGUUUAAGUCCGAGAUUCUAAAGCAUAUGACGGAGGGUAAAUCGACGAAGGGCCGAUCAAAAAGAAGGACUAUCAGGCUUCUAUGAUGGCAAGUUUAUAGGGGAUGCACAUGAAACAUUAGGCAAAUCUACAUCGGAAUAGGAAAAGGAUAUAAGUUCACAUGAUAUUCGUACUUUUGGGCUCAAUAAUGACAUAGUCCAAGGAACAAAUCUAUCAAGUCUGUUGGCCGAAGCGGACAAUACAUAUUAUGUACUUGGGCUGUGACAGAAUAGUCAAUUGGCUUCACUUAUCCACAUACACUAUAUGGACUAAUAUUUUAUUCACACGUAGGCACAAACCACUAUCCUUGUGUGCAAAAUCCAAAUUCCAACAUAUUGCUCUUACAAUCUACUAACUAUAAUAGUAUUUGAUAAAAAAGCCAUUGUCAAAAAUCAGAGAGCUGGUUGUUUCAGAAAAACUUGGCCAUGUUAUCAUGUUUUGCUGUCUAUAUGCGAGAUGUCAUUAACCAAGAUCUCCCAACCGAGCUAACAAGAUCCGUUCUGAAUUUGUUUUCCAAG
rnacentral:lncRNA from 1 species